GAUGAACGCUGGCGGCGUGCCUAAUACAUGCAAGUCGAGCGAACAGACGAGGAGCUUGCUCCUCUGACGUUAGCGGCGGACGGGUGAGUAACACGUGGAUAACCUACCUAUAAGACUGGGAUAACUUCGGGAAACCGGAGCUAAUACCGGAUAAUAUAUUGAACCGCAUGGUUCAAUAGUGAAAGACGGUUUUGCUGUCACUUAUAGAUGGAUCCGCGCCGCAUUAGCUAGUUGGUAAGGUAACGGCUUACCAAGGCAACGAUGCGUAGCCGACCUGAGAGGGUGAUCGGCCACACUGGAACUGAGACACGGUCCAGACUCCUACGGGAGGCAACAGUAGGGAAUCUUCCGCAAUGGGUGAAAGCCUGACGGAGCAACGCCGCGUGAGUGAUGAAGGUCUUCGGAUCGUAAAACUCUGUUAUUAGGGAAGAACAAAUGUGUAAGUAACUAUGCACGUCUUGACGGUACCUAAUCAGAAAGCCACGGCUAACUACGUG
rnacentral:rRNA from 1 species